AGAUUGAACGCUGGCGGCAUGCCUUACACAUGCAAGUCGAACGGUAACGCGGGGGCAACCUGGCGACGAGUGGCGAACGGGUGAGUAAUGCAUCGGAACGUGCCCAGUAGUGGGGGAUAGCUCGGCGAAAGCCGGAUUAAUACCGCAUACGACCUAAGGGUGAAAGCGGGGGACCGUAAGGCCUCGCGCUAUUGGAGCGGCCAUGUCAGAUUUAGGGUUGUUGGUAGGGGUAAAAGCCUACCAAGCCGACGAUCUGUAGCUGGUCUGAGAGGACGACCAGCCACACUGGACGUGAGACACGGCCCAGACCUCCUACGGGAGGCAGCAGUGGGAAUUUGGACAGUGGGGCACCUGAUC
rnacentral:rRNA from 1 species